rnacentral:rRNA from 1 species
GAUGAACGCUAGCUACAGGCUUAACACAUGCAAGUCGCGGGGCAGCAUGAAUUUAGCUUGCUAAAUUUGAUGGCGACCGGCGCACGGGUGAGUAACGCGUAUCCAACCUUCCCAUGUCCACGGGAUAGCCCGUCGAAAGGCGGAUUAAUACCGUAUGAGGUCACAUGCGGGCAUCUAAGUGUGACGAAAGGUUUAGCGGACAUGGAUGGGGAUGCGUCCGAUUAGCUAGUUGGCGGGGUAACGGCUCACCAAGGCGACGAUCGGUAGGGGUUCUGAGAGGAAGGUCCCCCCACAUUGGAACUGAGACACGGUCCAAACUCCUACGGGAGGCAGCAGUGAGGAAUAUUGGUCAAUGGACGCAAGUCUGAACCAGCCAAGUAGCGUGCAGGAUGACGGCCCUAUGGGUUGUAAACUGCUUUUAUAAGGGAAUAAAGUGAGUCUCGUGAGACUUUUUGCAUGUACCUUAUGAAUAAGGACCGGCUAAUUCCGUAGCCAGCAGCCGACGG